GCUAAGAAUCGAGAAAGUUCUUCAUUUCACCAUUUUUGUCUCUCUCUCCACUCUCAAGAUACGAAGCAUAUACUCCUUCUUCCUAAAAAUCUGCAUGUUUCCGAUCGCUUUAUCUACACACAUUUUAGUGUUAAAUGCGUAGAUCCUUUCCGAAAUCCUUGAUUUUGGAAUGGAUCUGUUGAACCUGCCUGUCCGAUCGCUAGGUUACUACAUGUCUUCAAUUUUUUUCUUAAUUUUUUGUUUUGUUUUUUAGGGUAUGAGUUCAGCGGAAAUAUAAUCAAGCGAGAUCGGAGUUUGUCUUCAGUCAUCGUUGAACUCAAGAGUAUUUCGGAGCUGUAAAGUGGGAUCUAGUACAUGCAUGACCAGACCUGUAGGAUCUGGAACCAAGAACUGGACAUGAGCAGGUCUACAAAUACAGAAGAGUUAUGCGAUGAAGUACAAAUUCAAUGUGCUCUAAUUGAUGGCUAAGUAUUCAGUGUGCUCUCAUUGAUGGCUAAGUAAUGGAGGUUAUUGAAAUCAGGGACUCAUGGGUGCCAAUAUAAUGCUUUGAACACUAAUUAAGACUAAUGUUCUUGACCAGUACAUAUUGAGAAGGCAUUGGAUAUUUUGGCAGAUUAUUACGUUUGUAUUGUAUAGAAGUCAGAUUGAACUUCUUCAUCUCAUCGACCUCUAUAUAUAGAGAUGGAAUGUGCUAUCAGGACUGUUCUCCUAGAGAAACGAAGAGUCCUACUUUGGAACAAUGAGAAAUAAUCAUUUUGUUAUUUCAAAUUUCAAAUUACUUAUUUUCAGAAAUAGAACAUAUGUAUUAGUUGUAAAUAUUAGUUCUAGAGUGUAAAAUGUAAAUUGUAAAUUCAAUUUCAUUUUUCCCUUUUCGACUUCCCAGAUAGUUC